rnacentral:rRNA from 1 species
ACCAACCCUAGCCCAUAACUACCAAAACAUAAUAAUAACCCCUAAGUUAAACAAAACAUUUACUCCAAUUAAAGUAUAGGAGAUAGAAAUUUUUAUCAGGAGCUAUAGAGAAAGUACCGUAAGGGAAAGAUGAAAGAAAUAAUUCACAGUAAUACAAAGCAAAGACUAAUCCUUUUACCUUUUGCAUAAUGAGCUAACUAGAACCUAACUUCGCAAAAAGAAUUUUAGUCAAGUACCCCGAAACCAAGCGAGCUACCUGCGAGCAAUCAAUUAGAAUCAACCCGUCUAUGUGGCAAAAUAGUGGGAAGACUUGUAGGUAGAAGUGAAAGACCUAACGAGCAUGGUGAUAGCUGGUUGUCCAGAUCAGAAUUUUAGUUCAACUUUAAGUUUACCUAAAGCACUAAUUAAUCCUAAUGUAAACUUAAUUGUUACUCUAAAGAGGUACAGCUCUUUAGAUAAGGGAAAUAACCCCGUUUAGCGAGUAAAACCAAGAACCAUCAUAGUUGGCCUAAAAGCAGCCAUCAAUUAAAAAAGCGUUCAAGCUUAACUUACAACUAAAACUUAAUCUCAACAUUCUAACUACACCUCCUAAAUCUCAACUGGACUAAUCUAUACAACAUAUAGAAGCAACAAUGUUAACAUAAGUAACAAGAAAUAAUUCUCCCUGCAUAAGCUUAUAUCAGACCGAAUAAAUCACUGAUAGUUAACAAACAUAUAAUAAAAUACAAAAACCAAACUUUUAUUACUACCACUGUUAACCCAACACCGGAGUGCAUAAAGGGAAAGAUUCAAAAGAGUAAAAGGAACUCGGCAAACAUCAACCCCGCCUGUUUACCAAAAACAUCACCUCUAGCAUCUAUAGUAUUAGAGGCACCGCCUGCCCAGUGACAUAUGUUCAACGGCCGCGGUAUCCUGACCGUGCAAAGGUAGCAUAAUCAAGCCCGCCUGUUUACCAAAAACAUNCACCUCUAGCAUCUAUAGUAUUAGAGGCACCGCCUGCCCAGUGACAUAUGUUCAACGGCCGCGGUAUCCUGACCGUGCAANAGGUAGCAUAAUCAUUUGUUCCUUAAAUAGGGACUUGCAUGAAUGGCUUAACGAGGGUUUAACUGUCUCUUACUCCCAAUCAGUGAAAUUGACCUCCCCGUGAAGAGGCGGGGAUAACCAAAUAAGACGAGAAGACCCUAUGGAGCUUAAAUUUACUAAUCUAAGCAAUCUGACAUUAACUUUCCCCGGAAUAAUUAAAAUCUUGCCUUUAGAUUACAAAUUUUGGUUGGGGUGACCUCGGAGCACAAAACAACCUCCGAAUGAUUUUAGCCUAGACAUCACAUGUCCAAGUUCAUAUUCAUCAAUUGACCCAAUCCUAUUGAUCAACGGAACAAGUUACCCUAGGGAUAACAGCGCAAUCCUACUCAAGAGUCCAUAUCGACAGUAGGGUUUACGACCUCGAUGUUGGAUCAGGACAUCCAAAUGGUGUAACCGCUAUUAAUGGUUCGUUUGUUCAACGAUUAAAGUCCUACGUGAUCUGAGUUCAGACCGGAGAAAUCCAGGUCGGUUUCUAUCUAUUUAAUAUUUCUCCCAGUACGAAAGGACAAGAGAAAUUCGGCACAAUUCCCCCGCCAUGCCUUAGAAGCAGAAAAUGAAACAAUCUCAAUUCAAUAAACCAUUACACUCAACCCCCAAGAACUAGGGCUUGUUAAG